rnacentral:rRNA from 1 species
AUGGAGCCUGUUUCGAAAAUCCAAAUCCCGAACUCGACGGAUAUUUACACGCGGAACAAACUGAAAAAAGAAAAAAGAGAAGAACUCGAGAGGGAGCAAUCCAAAGGGAGCCAAACGGAGCGCGCUUGCCAACACAACAAGGGAAUGUCUCGCGCGCGCGCGUGCCCGCGUCAGGGCGGCGCGGCCGGCGCGCGGCAGGUGGGGCAGGAGGGGCGGCGUGACCCUGCGGCGGAGGUGGGGACGGCGAGCCAGCGCUCGAUGCAGCGCGCGUGGAAGCCGUGGCCGCACGCCGGCAUGGCGCGCACGGCGUCGCCCUCCGCGAACUCGGCCAGGCAGAUGGCGCACUCGUGCGCGGCCGCGCCCGCCAGCCGCGUCCCGGACGCCGAGUACACCAGCAGCGGCGGCAGCGGGGGCGGCGGCGCGGGCUCCGCCACGGCCGGCUUCUCCGGGUCUCCUUCAGCCGCGCCGUCGACGCCCCGCCCCUGCCGCUGCCGUUGCCGGCGGCGGCGGAGCAGGCACCUGACGCCGGCGUGGAGCGCGAGGGCGAGCGCGAGCGCGGCGAGCAGGGACGCGAGGAUGAUGGCCAUGUUGCCCGCGAAGUCGCCCGCGCCCGAGUAG